rnacentral:rRNA from 1 species
CACGUAGGGCGCGAGCGUUGUCCGGAAUUAUUGGGCGUAAAGAGCUCGUAGGCGGCCUGUUGCGUCCGCUGUGAAAGCCCGGGGCUUAACCCCGGGUCUGCAGUGGAUACGGGCAGGCUAGAGUUCGGCAGGGGAGACUGGAAUUCCUGGUGUAGCGGUGAAAUGCGCAGAUAUCAGGAGGAACACCGGUGGCGAAGGCGGCUCACUGGCCCGGUACUGACGCUGAGGUGCGAAAGCGUGGGGAGCAAACAGG